UACGGGGGGUGCAAGCGUUGUCCGGAAUCAUUGGGCGUAAAGCGUUCGUAGGCGGCAAGGUAAGUCUGAUGUUAAAGCCUGGGGCUCAACUCCGGUUCGGCAUUGGAUACUAUCUAGCUAGAAUGUGGUAGAGGUAAAGGGAAUUCCUAGUGUAGCGGUGAAAUGCGUAGAUAUUAGGAGGAACACCAGUGGCGAAGGCGGCCUGCUGGGCUUUUACUGACGCUGAGGCUCGAAAGUGUGGGUAUCAAACAGG
rnacentral:rRNA from 1 species